rnacentral:lncRNA from 9 species
GGGGCUGGGCUGGGCUGGGCUGCUGGGCGGGAAGGUGCGUGGGGUUAUCUUUCCGAGAGAGUCUCGCUGGCAGGAUUCCCGGGUGGGGAAGCCGGCUGUCAGGGAGCGUGAUUUACUGCAGGCUGAGAUUCUCUUCCUGCCAGACCCGCCCUAAUUCCUUGCAAUUCUCACAUUACUGGGGGUGAAGUCAGAGGCCCCUGGUGAAAAUGCAAAUGUUAUCUAGACAGGAAGACUCAUUAAACCUUUACCAGCUAGUAACCCAUUAUCUUAAAUCAUGUUCCCCAAAUAGCCACCUGGCCUCUUCAGAUGGCCUAGAAAGAAAUGGAAAGAUGGAAUAUUAAGUCACUUCUCUUUUCUUGAUUUCCUAACACGUUGUCUUGUGCAGACCUUCAGCCUUUUCAUACCAAGACAAUAGCCUCUUCCCCAGUCAGCGUGUUUCCAGGUCCCAGGGCUAUUUCUUGGAUCUGGAGAUCUGUCUCUGGGCUGCAUCCUCCAGGCUCUGGCACAAUGCCCUAGGAAGCCUUUCUGAAUUCCCACCACCCCAUCCAGGGGAUUGACCGCUGCUUUCAUAGCCCUUUGUCGUUGGUCUUCCAACGCUUAUGGGAGCAGAGUAUCAUCUGGGAGCAUGUGACUGGUUCAUUCAGACAUGUACUCGACAAGUAUUUGUGGAGUUCCUGUUCUGUGCCAGAUGCUAUGCCAUGUGCCGGGGGUCGAGGAAGAGACACCCCAGACGAGUCUGGUGCCCGGAGGCGCUCUCUGCUGUGGAUCUGGUUCUUUUCCAUCACGGCACUGACCUUGAAUGGCUGGCCACCUGUGACCCCCCAUCUCCUGCUCUGAAUCCCGCCUUCACCCCACGGGAGCCGGCAGAGCGUCUGCACCUGCCAGCUACUCAGCGCACCUUUGGAAGUCAGCUGGAAUUUGGGGUCACUCUUCAGGAUCAUGGAUCAACCACGGAGCCGGUUAUUGCUGCUGUGAGAACAGCUGCUGCUGCUGCUGUGUCCCUAGAGUGAGUUUCGUGUAACUCUGCAACAUUGAUGCGCUGAGGAAGACAAGGAAAGGUCCUGAAGAGACUCAGAGCUGGCGCAAGCUGUGUGUGUGUGUGUGUGUGUGUGUGAGCGUGUGUGAGGAGGAGGCACAUCUUGAACCAUGUCCUAGAGGUCAGCCUACCUGCAAGUGACAGUGAGGACCACGCGAGGCACGCUUUGCACUGAAAAAGGUACCCCCCCACCCCCCUUCCCCAUUUUGUCUGGUGCUUCCUCCGAAGGAUGAGUGGUGACCAAAAGGGCAGUGGGGGGCUCUUGAGGAGCCUUGCCAUCUGGCAGUGCUGGAAAUGGAGUGUAUGAAAUGGUUUCUGCCGAGAGUUCCUCGGGGAUGUGGGCACCCCAACCACACCCUCAGGGCAUCGCCAGCCCCGGGGUGCUUCUGAGCCACUCUAUUCCCAAAUGGUGCGAUUAUAUCUCAGACUGUUCAUAACCCUCCAGGGUUUUUUUUUUCUUUCUCUCUCUCUUUAUUCUUUUUUCCCCUGGUACAAAUAAAUUAUUUAAUGCAAUGGCUUUGAUCAUUAGCCGCUGCCAGUGUGCAGGGGCCACCUUGGCUGUUCUGGGGAAGCCCCAGCCCUUCUCAGUCGGCUGUGCAGCCCCGCCCUUCAGCAGGGACGUUUCAUUUUUUACCAUCAUGCAUCCUGCUGAGGACAGUAGGUCCCUGGGAGCCGCUCAGAACCCAGAGCUCUGCAGGCUGCGUGGAAUUCCCACAGGAAGCCCUUCCUCUGAGAACGUGGCUCUGGUCUAGGCGGAGCAGACACACCAGAGCCUCUGAGAUGCCCCGUCAAGGGGGGGCGCUGCCCGGGGAAGGGGGGCUGCUCCUGCCCGCCUGGGAAUCUCUGAAACUAUACUUACACUGUCGGGUGAAAGGAAUUCGGGGGUCACUUGGGAUCUGUACACAUUAGUAUUUAUGUCAUAUUAAUGAGGUGCUAAUUGCUCUUGCAAUCUUUAUCAUGCAAAUGGAUCCAGUCCUAUUUGCUUGGUCCUGUACCCAGCGUAAUACCUGCUAGCCUUUCCAUUACGGUCAAAGCAAUUAUCAGCAAGCCUGGUCACAGGUAACGUCUUUCACAUCAGCUCACCACAGCAUACCAAGCGUCUUUUGGGGGGAGUAAGAUGGUCCUGACACUGUGAGAGUCUUUUUAAAGCCGUCCUCUCUCUCGAGGAGGCGGGGCACUGCAAAGGAUGCUGCAGGGACAUCCACGCGGAGGAUGUGCAAGGAGGGAUGAGCCAGCCGGCCCUGCGCCAGCACCCCUGGUGGUCCCAGGAGGCUGGGAGCUCGCUAAGGCCAUCGGAGCGUCUUCUCGAGGCUUUCUGUGUGGAUGGAGUGCCCAGGGAGUGGCCACACUGGGGCCUGAGGCGAAAGUAAGAAUAGAUGCUGGCACAUACUUAGUGAAACUUCCUGCCAUGUUCUGAAUCAUGCAGAAAAAGUAAAUAGAAGCUUGCCAUAAAAAAACCGUGACCUCAUAGAGUCCCCAUUGCCCCAUCUGUUUGCACCUCACUGCCAACCCUCUGGGAGCUGACCGAGGGGCACGCAGGCCAUUGUAGAGGGGGAUGGGGGCAUGGGAACCGAGGCAGCUCAGAAAUCACGCUCUUUCAGAAACCGUAGACGCUAGCAAACCAACCGUCUGUCUUUAUGUACAGUUUUUGAUAUUUUGUUCAUUAUAGAUUUUUCCAUUAACUUUUAUUUUUCUGUUUAUUUAUUUAUUUUUUUGUCUUUUUGCCAUUUCUUGGGCUGUUCCUGCAGCACAUGGAGGUUCCCAGGCUAGGGGUUGAAUCGGAGCUGUAGCCCCCACCGGCCUAUGCCAGAGUCACAGCAACGGGGGACCCGAGCCGCGUUUGCAACCUACACCACAGCUCAUGGCAACGCCAGAUCCUUAACCCACUGAGCAAGGCCAGGGAUUGAACCUGCAACCUCAUGGUUCCUAGUCAGAUUCGUUAACCACUGCACUACAAC